rnacentral:rRNA from 1 species
UACAGAGGUGGCAAGCGUUGUUCGGAAUUACUGGGCGUAAAGGGCGCGUAGGCGGCUUGGUCAGUCCCGUGUGAAAUCCCUCGGCUCAACUGAGGAACUGCACGGGAAACUGCCUGGCUUGAGUUCGGGAGAGGGAAGCGGAAUUCCGGGUGUAGCGGUGGAAAUGCGUAGAUAUCCGGAGGAACACCGGUGGCGAAGGCGGCUUCCUGGACCGACACUGACGCUGAGGCGCGAAAGCUAGGGGAGCAAACGGG